UCUUUAUCAAAAUAGGCCAAGGUCAAUGGACAGAUGCCUCAUCACCACCUGAAGAUGCUCACAUGACAUUACAUACAACUUUUAAUUGGGUGGACAAUUUGAACUAUUGUGGGUGGGAACGUUGCCAUCACUUUGUAUAUGUGAUUUUCAUGGUCAAUUCCUCAGAUUCAUAAUUCCUUGGAUGCC